rnacentral:rRNA from 1 species
GUUUGAUCCUGGCUCAGAUUGAACGCUGGCGGCAUGCCUUACACAUGCAAGUCGAACGGUAACAGGUCUUCGGAUGCUGACGAGUGGCGAACGGGUGAGUAAUACAUCGGAACGUGCCCGAUCGUGGGGGAUAACGAAGCGAAAGCUUUGCUAAUACCGCAUACGAUCUACGGAUGAAAGCAGGGGACCGCAAGGCCUUGCGCGAACGGAGCGGCCGAUGGCAGAUUAGGUAGUUGGUGGGAUAAAAGCUUACCAAGCCGACGAUCUGUAGCUGGUCUGAGAGGACGACCAGCCACACUGGGACUGAGA